CUCACAUUAAAAAGCACUUUGCUUUGUUGUCCUUAGAAUUUUAUUUUUUCUCUAGAGACCUUCAUUCAUGAGACUAUUAUUUAUUGGUUUAUGUAUUAUUGUCAAACUAUAAAUUGGGUACUAAAUUUUAUAGAGGAAAAAUCAAAACAAAAUUACCUAUCAGCAGAGGGUAUAUUUUAGUGACAGGAAAAAUAAAUUAAAAAAUAGUAUGCUAGAUGAUGAUAAAUGUUAUGGAGAAAAAUAAGAGUGAGUGGAUGUCAGUAUGACAAGGUAACUCACUAUUGCAAUUUUUAAAAGGGCAAUGAAAAAAGUUCUCCCUAGAAAAUGAAAUUAGAGGAAACCCUUGAAAGAUGGACGCUAAAGGGCGGGAAUUUCAGGGUGAGGGUGGGAGGAGGAGUCUGGAUUUCAGAAUGUUGUCUGCAAGGAUAAUUUUGUAGCUGGAGCUAACUGAUAAAGGUAAAGAUGGGACACAAUGACUUUAGAGAAAGUUACUAUCAUUUUAUGUCUAACUUUAAAAUGGUUUUACCAAUAAUCUGAAGAAAUUACUUCCAUGGAAUUAAUGGGUUUGCUUAGUAAUUUGACUUAUGCCAAUUAUAUCAAGGAUAACUGACAACUUCAAAAAACAUUAAAUUUUUUUUUUUUUAGUUUGCAUGUGAAAUGUUUCUUACUUUACCUUUUUUUCCUUGUGAACACAUACUGUAUAAUAUAGGAAUGCAAAUGAAGUUCUGAAAAAAGCAUUAAGCAAAAGUUAGGCUUUUAAAAUUGUGUAGACACAUUAACUAACACCUUACUGAAGAUGGGACUGCAGGAUGCGUGGUUUAACCUCAUGACCUUGGCUUGCCCAUGAAAACCAAAUGGUGGGCUGGUGGAACUUACUCUGAAGAUAGAAAAUAUCAAUUUGUGAUCCAGCAGUUCUGUCUUAUAAGUUUUUAUAAAGUAUAUUUAUGGAUUUUUGACUGUGUAUGCCAUAAUUAGAUCAAAUAACAUUCAUGUUUGAC
rnacentral:lncRNA from 1 species